rnacentral:rRNA from 1 species
AGCGAGCGGAACUAACAGAUUUACUUCGGUAAUGACGUUAGGAAAGCGAGCGGCGGAUGGGUGAGUAACACGUGGGGAACCUGCCCCAUAGUCUGGGAUACCACUUGGAAACAGGUGCUAAUACCGGAUAAGAAAGCAGAUCGCAUGAUCAGCUUUUAAAAGGCGGCGUAAGCUGUCGCUAUGGGAUGGCCCCGCGGUGCAUUAGCUAGUUGGUAAGGUAAAGGCUUACCAAGGCGAUGAUGCAUAGCCGAGUUGAGAGACUGAUCGGCCACAUUGGGACUGAGACACGGCCCAAACUCCUACGGGAGGCAGCAGUAGGGAAUCUUCCACAAUGGACGCAAGUCUGAUGGAGCAACGCCGCGUGAGUGAAGAAGGUUUUCGGAUCGUAAAGCUCUGUUGUUGGUGAAGAAGGAUUGAGGUAGUAACUGGCCUUUAUUUGACGGUAAUCAACCAGAAAGUCACGGCUAACUACGUGCCAGCAGCCGCGGUAAUACGUAGGUGGCAAGCGUUGUCCGGAUUUAUUGGGCGUAAAGCGAGCGCAGGCGGAAGAAUAAGUCUGAUGUGAAAGCCCUCGGCUUAACCGAGGAACUGCAUCGGAAACUGUUUUUCUUGAGUGCAGAAGAGGAGAGUGGAACUCCAUGUGUAGCGGUGGAAUGCGUAGAUAUAUGGAAGAACACCAGUGGCGAAGGCGGCUCUCUGGUCUGCAACUGACGCUGAGGCUCGAAAGCAUGGGUAGUGAACAGGAUUAGAUACCCUGGUAGUCCAUGCCGUANACGAUGAGUGCUAAGUGUUGGGAGGUUUCCGCCUCUCAGUGCUGCAGCUAACGCAU